GACGAACCGUCCAAACGUUAUUCGGAAUCACUGGGCUUAAAGGGCGCGUAGGCGGCCGAGCGGGUCGUGGGUGAAAUCCCCCAGCUUAACUGGGGAACUGCUUACGAUACCACUGCGGCUCGAGGAAGGAAGGGGCAAUUGGAACUGUCGGUGGAGCGGUGAAAUGCGUUGAGAUCGGAAGGAACGCCCGUGGCGAAAGCGAGGCCCUGGACCCUUACUGACGCUGAGACGCGAAAGCCAGGGAGCGAACGGG
rnacentral:rRNA from 1 species